UACGUAGGGUGCGAGCGUUGUCCGGAAUUAUUGGGCGUAAAGAGCUCGUAGGCGGUGUGUCACGUCGGCCGUGAAAACCUGCAGCUUAACUGUGGGCGUGCGGUCGAUACGGGCAUCACUGGAGUUCGGCAGGGGAGACUGGAAUUCCUGGUGUAGCGGUGAAAUGCGCAGAUAUCAGAAGGAACACCGGUGGCGAAGGCGGGUCUCUGGGCCGAUACUGACGCUGAGGAGCGAAAGCGUGGGGAGCAAACAGG
rnacentral:rRNA from 1 species